rnacentral:rRNA from 1 species
AUUGAACGCUGGCGGCAGGCUUAACACAUGCAAGUCGAGCGGAGCGAGGGUGCUUGCACCUUAGCUUAGCGGCGGACGGGUGAGUAAUGCUUAGGAAUCUGCCUAUUAGUGGGGGACAACAUUCCGAAAGGAAUGCUAAUACCGCAUACGCCCUACGGGGGAAAGCGGGGGAUCUUCGGACCUUGCGCUAAUAGAUGAGCCUAAGUCGGAUUAGCUAGUUGGUGGGGUAAAGGCCUACCAAGGCGACGAUCUGUAGCGGGUCUGAGAGGAUGAUCCGCCACACUGGGACGGAGACACGGCCCAGACUCCUACGGGAGGCAGCAGUGGGGAAUAUUGGACAAUGGGCGGAAGCCUGAUCCAGCCAUGCCGCGUGUGUGAAGAAGGCCUUUUGGUUGUAAAGCACUUUAAGCGAGGAGGAGGCUACUUAGAUUAAUACUCUGGGAUAGUGGACGUUACUCGCAGAAUAAGCACCGGCUAACUCUGUGCCAGCAGCCGCAGUAA